UCUAUGUUAGGCGAACGUGAUACCACCGCGACACUAAAGAAACCUCGGCUCAAUCCACCACUGGUAUUGCCCUUUUGUCUUUGCAGAAGUACUUUGGAGAAGGUCUUGAACUAACAGAUUCAUCAGGCAUUGACCAUCGUCACUAUGGAACAGUCUAAAUAAGCACCUGCAUGUAUGAGGUCGUGGUUUUCAGCCAGGGAGUGGAGGAUAGAACAAACUCGGCCUGGAGUGAGUAUCCGCCCAAAUGGACACAGUUCAAGUGCAUACUUCCUCUUAAGACCGAAGUUGAGGCUGCCAGACAAUUUUCAGAUGCACUCCUCGUUAGUAUAGUGGACAGUAUCUCUGCUUGUCACGCAGAAGACCAGGGUUCGAUUCCCUGACGGGGAGCUUCUUUUCAAAAGGCAACUACAAACUGUUCACUCUCCUUGGCUUCUCCUGUCCUAUGCAACACAACUCAUGCUGAUUAACACUAUUUUACUACUGAAACUACAGGUCCUGAACAGACUGUUGCUAAAAGCAUGACUCCAGAUUGUCACACUUCUGUCACUUAGCGAAACUGUGACAAUGUUGUCAAAGAAGUGCUGAAUCAAACGAAUGCAUGGAGGAGGACAUCUCUCAGAUGAUGCCAAUCGGUUGGCUUCAUCAGUGGCCUUAUGCACAGCCUGGAAGAGCUGUUUUUUUAUUGACCAGUUGCAAGAAGAUCCACCGCUGCAGAGAAGGCAGGACAAAUGGACAGUGUUUCCGCCCAGUUUCAAACUGGGGACCUUUCCUAUGUUAGGCGAACGUGAUACCACCGCUACACUAAAGAAACCUCGGCUCAAUCCACCACUGGUAUUGCCCUUUUGUCUUUGCAGAAGUACUUUGGAGAAGGUCUUGAACUAACAGAUUCAUCAGGCAUUGACCAUCAUCACUAUGGAACAGUCUAAAUCAGCACCUGCAUGUAGGAGGUUGUGGUUU
ensembl:lncRNA